GUUUAUUUAAAAAAGGGUUAAUCCUAGAGGGACCUGGCACCCAGACCACUUCAUUAAGCUGAAGUGGUCUGGGUGCCUAGAGUGGUCCUUUAAAGCCAGAUCUGUAACAUUGCAGCCACACAGGAGUGAGAAUCCACAGGCCAGGCGUAUGUCACACAGUCCGUAAAAGCUACUGUGACAUGGAAUUGUAAAUGUGACUUCUGUCAUUAGGUCAUCACCAUAUCAAACUCCAAGCCCACAAAGCCCCAAAUCCCGUGCUGGAUUUCAGCCAUUGUUAAACCCUGCUCUGUGAGAUGUUACUGAACAAUGUCACAUAUGAAUGUAUUCAGCACUUCCUUCCAGUGCCAGAAUGAUUAACAACAAGUGCAAAUCUAGUUACAUUGCUAAGUUACAGACACUGAGGGUUAUGUAUUAAAGCUGUGGCACCAUGGAAAUUAAAUUAAUGAGUUGUUCCUCACUAUUGCAACAUUUUAAUAAAACAUAUCAUACUAUAUUGUGGAGUAGAUACCCUUCGACCCAUGAUUACAUAUGCAAAUAGAGUCUCGAAGAUAAACUUAAAUUGCUGCAAUGCGUGUUUUUCUUCUCGCUCUGGAAGAUGCUCUAUAGGAACAUUCAGCAAAAUUAUCUUUUUUUCUCAUUGUGUCCGAGACAGGUCUAAGUAGCCUUGUGGCCUUUCAAUGUAUCAUUGGCAAGAUUCUUCCUUUCACACGAAGAUGGGAGACUUUGUUGAGUGUAAUGAAAGGUCUCUGUUCCUGGUAACUUGUACAGCAUGGAUUACAGGGUAUACUGGAGAUAUCUUGCUCAUUCUUUAAAACAAAAUGGUCCACUUGGUUAAUAUUCCUCUAUUUGUGACAUGAGAAGAUAUUGAUGUUAAUCCCCAGAUCCAUCCAACUCACCUAGAGUCUAUUUUGGACCUAGGUUCAUGAAAGACUCUAAAUCCUUUUAUUUCUUUUUUUAAUCCAAAUUUCAGAUUUUUCUUUUAAUAAUUUGACACAUAUUAAUGGAUGUCAUGUUUCUCAGGUAAUAGAAUUAAGUCCAUAUUAUUGUCCUCAUUAUUAGUUUAUAAUUAUACAGCUUUUCCAGCACCAGGUGGAAGUAAAGGUUAUAACAGGCUGACAAAUACAUAGACUAGGAUACCUAAUCUUGCAACCGUAUAUGUUUGGCAACUACAUUUCCCAUAAUGCUCAUACACCCUUUGGUGUACAUAAACUUCUACGGUGUCAAGGUUAGCUGUCAUUAGCCGUGAGCAUCCCUGUUAUAAGCUUACGUUUUCAACAGUUAAUAGUUAUCCCAACGAAUAUCAUGUGUGCCGUUAAAUUCCAAAAAUAUAAUGGUCCGAAAAACGCUAAUGAUAUAUUCAGGAAGUAAAAAAACAUUAACUAUUACAGUUCUGAAGUUUACUAUUUAUUGAGUUAUUUACUGAAGUGAAAAUUCAAAUUUAAGUUUAAAAUUGCCAAACUGGAAACAUUUCUGAGCUGUGCUUUCCGUUUGGUUAUUUUGGCAUUAUAUUUCAAAUCACUUUGAAUAACGGUUUUAAUGUUUGAUCACCCAGUCUUAUUAACCAUCAAUAAGCAAUUCCAUAGGUGUUGAUCCUCUCAAUUAUUAGUGCUUGUUUUGUAUCUGUACUCAAGAAACAGACAAACAAAUUGCACAAGUCUACAGUACGAGUGUUGUGUGGGAGAAAUAGUGUGUGUUGUUAUUUUGAUACAAUACAAACAGCUGUAAUUAUCCUGUUUUUUUGUUUUUUUUCGUUUUUGAAAUCUUGCUCAAUAUCUUUGGUUAAUGUACUGUAUCUUAGCUCGAAUGGCAUGCGUAAGACAUAAAUCUAUCAUGUCAAAACAUCACAUCUCAAGUUAAUUAGAAACAUUAAAAUCACAUUCACUGUUGCUUGUGGCACAAAACAACAACAUGAGAAGCACUUUGACUACAGUGAAAUACAAAGUGAAUUACUGAUUAGUAAAGUGCUUACUCUGAUAAGUUUCUAAUUCCAAUUUGUUUGUGUAACAUCUCCCCUGUGUAUUACAUUGUCAUGUAAAAUAAGGAGAUUGGAGCAGUAAAUACAGUCUGUGUUCUUUACCAUUUAGUAGUGUUUAUCAGGGCAGUGUCAACACAGGUUCAACUUAAAUCUGUUGUUGGACUACGUUUCCUAUAAAUCUCUGCCAGACAUCGGAAAUCCCAGUUUUAUUGCAUCAAGAAUCCAAAGUUAGGGCUGUAACAUUCAAUGAAUAGGAUAAUCUUAUAUUCUAUAGAUUCAUCUUAAGUUGUCCCGGAAGAACAAUUCCUAUGAUGCUAAGGCAUCAACAAACUUAUUUUUAUGUUAGAAGAUUUGCUUUGCCUCAUGGAACUUGUAGUUCCAACUUCACAUUUUUGUGAACUUCAAGUUCUCUGAAAAGGCAGUGUUUACAGUUCUCAGUCUGCAGGGAUUAGCUACACGGGAACCACUACAUUAAGCUGUGGUGGUACUGGUGACUAUAGUGUCCCUUUAAGGCCAGAGCAGCCCAACUUAAAACUUAGCUGAAUUUUUCCAGUUUGGCUAUUUUGACCUUAAAUUUUAAAUUCACUUUAAAAUCUCACUUUAAAGAAUAACGCUGUACGUGUGGUAACAGUGAUGUUGUUGCGUCACUCUACAGCUUCAACAUAAGUAAAAGUGAAUUCUCACCUGCUAUGAGACAAUAAUCAAUAGUGGAAUGAUCACUAGAGUAAACUUGUCAUGUUUAUAUUAAAUAGCACACUUACAGACUAAUCAGAAUACAGCUAAAUUUCACACUAUGGCUACCGAACAGAAAAUCCAAUGAUGAUAACAUAACAUAACAUAUUUUUUAAGAUUAGGCUGGGCAAACGAUAGAUCCCUUGUAGAACUGCAGCUUCCAUUCCAUUCUAAACGUUGGCAAAGCAUCAUGGCAGUUGAAGUUCUAGAACAUUUGGGAAUCUGCCGUUUACUCAGCUGUGACAAUUAAAAUAGAUGUUAUCAACCAUCCCCCAGCAGUUUUAACCAUUCACUGUUGUCCAGUUUGUACUAAAUUACAUUGAUAAUGCAAAAUUGUUCAUUCUGGAUUAGCAAUGUGGCUGAGAUGUGGUGGUCGCUCGGCACUCUCACACCAGGAGACUCUAGAUAAUCUAACCACUUCAGCAAACUGUGUAGUGAUAUGGUUGAUUACAAUGAUGCCUUAGAUUGAAGCAUUACUAUUUCUUUAAUUCUCAACCCCCCCACCCCCCACACCCCUUCCCCAGUUCAACCCAAGUGUCAGGAUCAUUAAAAUGUCACCAUAAGCGCCACUGUCAUUGCAGCUCAUUGUAGUGGUCGUGGCACAAAGAGUCUUUGGGAACCAUCUCACUGUUUGCAUUGAACCAUUUUUGAGUGGCUUGACAAUUAAAUGAGGGUUCUCCUGUUGCUCUCCGCCAUGUAACUCUGCACCCCAUUGGCUAAUACAGAAGUGGAUUUCCACAUUAGCCCUGCACUGUAGGUAGCAAUGAUAGAUAACAGCACUGGGGUCAUGUUAGACUUUUUACCAUAUAACCACUACAAUGAGCUUAGAGUAUCUCUUUAAAUGUUUAGUCUUUACCACAAUAACUGAACACAUUUAUACUCAUGGCUUUACCUUAAAUUUUAGCUUAUCCAGUGACAGAUUUAUGUAACAAUUUGUGUAUUUAAGUUGUUUAAAAUGCUUCUUCUAAAAGAACAGGCUGUUAGAAAGCAUUAAAGAUGCAGUGAAGAAUCUAAUUUGGUAGAAAAAAAACAAGGAAGAAAGUCUUCGGAGCGAGGAAUCACACUGCAAAUAUCUAUAGUUUCUGGCAGGCACUGUGAAUAUCUUUACUAUUCCCAAUGCUAGAGUAUUAUACUAAGAUAAUCAAAUAUAUGAAUAUAUAU